AGCUCCGCUCUUGCAAUUGGGUCGUUGCGAUUACGGGUCUUAUCUCCAACUCGUGAGCUUAGUCGGUACAAAG
rnacentral:tRNA from 2 species